UACCCGCAUGACUGCAACUCGCUUUGGAUAAAAGCAUCUGCUAAAUGGUAUAUA
rfam:Salmo salar isolate Sally breed double haploid chromosome ssa10, whole genome shotgun sequence.